rnacentral:rRNA from 1 species
UACGGGAGGCAGCAGUGGGGAAUAUUGCACAAUGGGCGAAAGCCUGAUGCAGCUAUGCCGCGUGUAUGAAGAAGGCCUUAGGGUUGUAAAGUACUUUCAUCGGGGAGGAAAAAACAAAACUAAUAAUUUUAUUUCUUGACGUUACCCGAAAAAGAAGCACCGGCUAACUCCGUGCCAGCAGCCGCGGUAAUACGGAGGGUGCUAGCGUUAAUCAGAAUUACUGGGCGUAAAGAGCACGUAGGUGGUUUUUUUAAGUCAGAUGUGAAAUCCCUGGGCUUAACCUAGGAACUGCAUUUUGAAACUGAAAUACUAGAGUAUCGUAGAGGGAGGUAGAAUUCUAGGUGUAGCGGUGAAAUGCGUAGAUAUCUGGAGGAAUACCUGUGGCGAAAGCGGCCUCCUAAACGAAUACUGACACUGAGGGUGCGAAAGCGUGGGGAGCAAACAGGGAUUAGAUA